CACAUGGCCGUGGAAGGUGAGCCGCGGUCCCGCUGCUUCCCUUUCUCUUUCUUCUCUAGAGCGAGCAGAAACCCGUCCAGCUGCAUAUAAACCCGAGAGGCGCCAGGCAGGGCCGCGACUACUUCUUGUCUCUUCCGCCUUCCCCGCCGCGGGAGCGUGGCUGUGCUGCUUUAAGCGCUCGCAGGAUCCGCCUCGCCGCCUGCCCCAGCGCCCCUGAGCGGGCAAAGCUGCGGCACGCUCCGCCUCUGCCCAGGGGGAACCCCGCGCUGGGAGGCGGCCACGGGGGCAAGGCUCAGCCGGGGAACCCCGGUGGAGAGAAGGCAGCCGGAGGCUGCAUGGGGGCAGCUGGAACAGGCUGAAACCUGCGGACCAGGGGGCUCAGGCCGGGAAGAAGAGACAAAAAUCUUCUGUCCGUUAAAAUUGCUAUUAUCAGCUCCUCAGGACUGUGCAUGAGGUAGAGUUGAGAAUAAAGCAGGUGCCUGGCAGUGAACAAAUGGGCACCUGUCAGACAGCCUUCUGUUGGAGGAUUUUCCUUGGCAAGGCAGAGACAGAAACUGUUAACCAAGGAUACAGCUGCUGGAGAGGUUAUAUUGGUGUGAGAUGCCUCAUAGGAAGAGGGCAGCAUGGUAUCCUGGUAAAAAGACAGAACAGUGAAGACUGUAUGUAGAAGGAUUUGCAGGAAUCAGAAUAUGAACAGAGGACAAGAAAGUGAACAUGAAAGUUGAGAGGCUCAGUUGCACUGGUGAUGGAUCGAAAGCCUCGUGAUACUGGUCCACGUGGAAUGCAAGAAACAAAAAGAUGAAGCAGAUCUUCAGGCACCAGGAAGAAGGAAAAAUGAACAGUGUGGACUCCUGGCUGGUGAGGACCCAAAGGGGGAUGGUUAAUAGGCAGAAGCCAUUCUGUCACUUAAAUGGAGCAAACCAUUCAAAAAGGAUGGUUUUCCAUGGUUUCUCUCCAUCAGCAGCAGUGUGGAGAUGCCUGGCACACCAGCUGUUGUCCUGACCCUGCCUCACUGACCAUGGCUUGCCUCACUGGGGACUUGUCUGGUGAAUGCUCAACUGUUGGCUGGUCCUGGCUCUUGCCAGGAGAACUGUUCUGCACUUCUGGCUUGGAUGCUGUGGGAUGUGGCUUUCACAGCUAAGGACACUGCCUCUGCUUGCCUUCCUGUUCCCACUUUGUUCCCAGAUCAUCUUUGCUUCUGCGUCAGGCCAUUCUUGAUGCUUCCUGACACACACAGCACUGAAUUAGCAGGCCACCUCCAGCUAGUGGGUUGGGAUGACUGAGCCAAAGACCAUUAAAGCUCUCUGAUGUUGGAAUGUCUCGACUCAUAUCUAACAUGAGAGGAAGUGGCCUCAAGUUGCUCCAGGAGAGGUUUAGGUGGGUAUCAGAAGAGUUUUUUUCACUGAAAGGGUUCUCAAAAACUAGAACAGGCUGUCCAGGGAGUUGGUUGAAUCUUCAUCCAUGGAGGUGUUUCAA